rnacentral:rRNA from 1 species
AGCGAACGCUGGCGGCAGGCCUAACACAUGCAAGUCGAACGAAGCCUUUGGGCUUAGUGGCGGACGGGUGAGUAACACGUGGGAACGUACCUUUUGGUUCGGAACAACUCAGGGAAACUUGAGCUAAUACCGGAUGAGCCCUUAGGGGGAAAGAUUUAUCGCCGAAAGAGCGGCCCGCGUUAGAUUAGCUAGUUGGUGAGGUAAAGGCUCACCAAGGCAACGAUCUAUAGCUGGCCUGAGAGGAUGAUCAGCCACACUGGGACUGAGACACGGCCCAGACUCCUACGGGAGGCAGCAGUGGGGAAUCUUGCGCAAUGGGCGAAAGCCUGACGCAGCCAUGCCGCGUGAAUGAUGAAGGUCUUAGGAUUGUAAAAUUCUUUUACCAGGGACGAUAAUGACGGUACCUGGAGAAAAAGCCCCGGCUAACUUCGUGCCAGCCGCCGCCGUAAAAC